rnacentral:tRNA from 1 species
GCAAUCGUCGCUUAGCUUGGUAGAACGGAAAAGCGUGCCGAAAGCGCUGGAUUGCUAAUCCAGUGUCCGAACGGAUUCGUGGGUUCGAAUCCCACCGAUUGCG